rnacentral:rRNA from 1 species
AUUGAACGCUGGCGGCAGGCCUAACACAUGCAAGUCGGACGGAGUGGCGGACGGGUGAGUACUGUAUGGGACUCUGUCUUAUGGAGGGGUAUAACCUCAGGAAACGGGAGCUAAUACCGCAUAAUAUCAGAUGCGCCUAGGUGGGAUUAGGUAGUUGGUGGGGUAAAGGCCUACCAAGGCGACGAUCUGUAUCUGGUCUGAGAGGAUGAUCAGUCACACUGGAACUGAGACACGGUCCAGACUCCUACGGGAGGCAGCAGUGGGGAAUAUUGGGCAAUGGGCGAAAGCCUGAUCCAGCCAUGCCGCGUGUGUGAAGAAGGCCUUCGGGUUGUAAAGUACUUUAAGUAGGGAGGCGUUACCAACAGAAGAAGCACCGGCUAACUCCGUGCCAGCAGCCGCGGUAAUAC